GUCAUUUUAAAAGUUAAUCCAUCUUUAACCCUUUAAUAACUAUGGUAAAGCUAACGUAACUAACAGUAAAGAUAUUGAUGAUAAUUUUCUGUAUUUACAGGGGUAUAGGUAAUAUUUUAAAUUUUAUAGGGGCACCUAUGAUAUUUUAGACUUUGAGAGGGGUAUCCAUGAAAUUGCCCCUACUUUUUAUUCAACAAUAUUAAUUGUCGAUUUGAAAGUUUCAUCAUCAAAAAUAAAUAAAUGGCAAUAGGGCUUAUUUGCUGCGAAUAGCAUUUCAGAGAUCAGCUCUGUAUUUAUAUAUAA
rnacentral:lncRNA from 1 species